AAUAGUUCAAACGUAUCAGAAGCACACAAAAAAGAACAUCUUCAAUGUCGCUAGCAACACAUGGAGGAAAAGGAAUUCAAUGAAGAAAAAUUAUGCACAGGAAAGUCCUUUGCCAUGAAGAGCAACCAGCACAAAAAUAAAGGGAAGUAAUCAAAUCCAAUGACAAGAUAUUCUAGGCACAACAAACAUAAUGUUUAGGUGGGGAUUGCCAAUAGAACAUAAGGAGAACUCUUCAAAUUCCUAUCCCUACUUGGAAAAUGUUCCCCAAGUUGAUGUUUUUUUCGUCUAUCUGAUAGUAUUUUCAGCUUCCCGGACCAAAAAUAAAAGAGAAGGAAAUAAAAAGGGGCCCCCCGUUUGCUUGAAAUACCAUAAUCAAGGUUUCACAUGCUCCCUAAUGAACUUCUCCAGCUGAGAAAUCUCACCGGUUAGACCAGAAGCUUCAGCAACAAUUACUCUGUUAUGGCAUUGAGAAAAAGCAAAUGGUUCUCCAGGUACACCAAGCGUAUAUUCAUUAGAGAUAUCUGCAUCAGAUACGGCAGUUCUUGAUGUACGAAGUUUGUCGAUUUCUUUCUCCAGCUGUUUUCUGAUGAAUUCUGCUGUAUGUGCAGUUACUUUGUCAACCUUGUUGCAAAGGAGGAGUACUGGAACAUUUUUCUUGACCACACUUGCCUUUGUCAAGAUCUCAUACAAGUACUCUGAAGCAGGACGGCAGUUUGGUAAAAAUUCCACAGAAUCCACCACAAACACAACGCCAGCUGCUUGAGGUAGGAACUCAUCUAGUUUCGGCCUAAGACGAGAGUGCCCAGGGACAUCAACAAUGUGAACAAGCUUCAAUUUUCCUUUCUUGUCUUUCUCAGAGUGUAGUAUGAAACUGUCUUCAUUUGGUUCCAUUGAUGUCACGGUACCCUGAUGGGCUGAACCAUCUCUAAGCUGGUAAAAAAGAUAUGUUUUGCCGCUUCCACUUAGCCCAGUGAGUACAAUGGUGUUAGAUGCUGUACCUUUGAACAAGCGAAUGAUUAACAACAAAAUGAGAGUGGAUAAUACAACUCCAACAGCAACAUACAGUUGAACAGGAGGUAUAUCAUUGAUGAAUUUUUCAGCUUCAUUUACCCAUUGCUGCAUUUGAAUCUUCAAUUGCUCCACUUGCUCCUUAUCCAUUUUUCCCCGAAAAUUCUUCACUCAAUUUAAUCUUUCCCUGUUGUACUGUUGAGGCGAUGAAGACGACGUGUAUAGUACGCCGUUUACUGUCGUUUCGCCGUUUGCUUUGUGGCUGAUGUUGACGGGUCAGAGUCGCGGUUUUUGCCGGACUGAUGCGUCUGGGGAAGAAACGUACGCUAUUUCCGUUGAACACUGUUGGAGAAGAAGGACGCGCCCGGUGUUGGGG
rnacentral:misc_RNA from 1 species